rnacentral:rRNA from 1 species
GAUGAACGCUGGCGGCGUGCCUAAUACAUGCAAGUCGAGCGAACAGAUGAGGAGCUUGCUCCUCUGACGUUAGCGGCGGACGGGUGAGUAACACGUGGAUAACCUACCUAUAAGACUGGGAUAACUUCGGGAAACCGGAGCUAAUACCGGAUAAUAUAUUGAACCGCAUGGUUCAAUAGUGAAAGACGGUUUUGCUGUCACUUAUAGAUGGAUCCGCGCCGCAUUAGCUAGUUGGUAAGGUAACGGCUUACCAAGGCGACGAUGCGUAGCCGACCUGAGAGGGUGAUCGGCCACACUGGAACUGAGACACGGUCCAGACUCCUACGGGAGGCAGCAGUAGGGAAUCUUCCGCAAUGGGCGAAAGCCUGACGGAGCAACGCCGCGUGAGUGAUGAAGGUCUUCGGAUCGUAAAACUCUGUUAUUAGGGAAGAACAAAUGAGUAAGUAACUAUGCACGUCUUGACGGUACCUAAUCAGAAAGCCACGGCUAACUACGUG